rnacentral:rRNA from 1 species
UGGGGAAUUUUGGACAAUGGGGGCAACCCUGAUCCAGCCAUGCCGCGUGCGGGAAGAAGGCCUUCGGGUUGUAAACCGCUUUUGGUCGGGAAGAAAGGGUUCGGGCGAAUACCCUGGACUGUUGACGGUACCGGCAGAAUAAGCACCGGCUAACUACGUGCCAGCAGCCGCGGUAAUACGUAGGGUGCGAGCGUUAAUCGGAAUUACUGGGCGUAAAGCGUGCGCAGGCGGUUUUGUAAGUCAGAUGUGAAAGCCCCGGGCUCAACCCGGGAAGUGCAUUGGAUACUGGGAGACUUGAAUACGGGAGAGGGUAGUGGAAUUCCUAGUGUAGGAGUGAAAUCCGUAGAUAUUAGGAGGAACACCGGUGGCGAAGGCGGCUACCUGGACCGAUAUUGACGCUGAGACGCGAAAGCGUGGGGAGCAAACAGGAUUAGAUACCCUGGUAGUCCACGCCGUAAACGAUGAGAACUAGGUGUUGCGGGUAUUGACCCCUGCAGUGCCGCAGCUAACGCAUUAAGUUCUCCGCCUGGGAAGUACGGUCGCAAGACUA